rnacentral:rRNA from 1 species
GACGAACGCUGGCGGCGUGCCUAAUACAUGCAAGUCGAACGAGAGCGACCGGUGCUUGCACUGGUCAAUCUAGUGGCGAACGGGUGAGUAACACGUGGGUAACCUGCCCAUCAGAGGGGGAUAACAUCCGGAAACGGAUGCUAAAACCGCAUAGGUCUUCGAACCGCAUGGUUUGAAGAGGAAAAGAGGCGCAAGCUUCUGCUGAUGGAUGGACCCGCGGUGCAUUAGCUAGUUGGUGAGGUAACGGCUCACCAAGGCCGUGAUGCAUAGCCGACCUGAGAGGGUGAUCGGCCACAUUGGGACUGAGACACGGCCCAAACUCCUACGGGAGGCAGCAGUAGGGAAUCUUCCGCAAUGGACGCAAGUCUGACGGAGCAACGCCGCGUGAGUGAAGAAGGUUUUCGGAUCGUAAAACUCUGUUGUUAGAGAAGAACAAGUGCUAGAGUAACUGUUAGCGACUUGACGGUAUCUAACCAGAAAGCCACGGCUAACUACGUG